CUACGGGUCGCUGCAGUGGGGAAUAUUGCGCAAUGGACGAAAGUCUGACGCAGCGACGCCGCGUGAGGGACGAAGGUCUUCGGAUUGUAAACCUCUUUCAGUAGGGACGAAGCGAAAGUGACGGUACCUAAAGAAGAAGCACCGGCUAACUAUGUGCCAGCAGCCGCGGUAAUGACAUAGGGUGCAAGCGUUGUCCGGAUUUAUUGGGCGUAAAGAGUUCGUAGGCGGUUUAUCGCGUCGGGUGUGCAAACUCAGGGCUUAACCCUGAGCCUGCACUCGAUACGGGUUUACUCGAGGACGGCAGGGGAGACUGGAACUCCUGGUGUAACGGUUGAAUGCGCAGAUAUCAGGAAGAACACCAAUGGCGAAGGCAGGUCUCUGGGCCGAUUCUGACGCUGAGGAACGAAAGCGUGGGGAGCAAACAGGAUUAGAUACCCCAGUACUC
rnacentral:rRNA from 1 species